GACGAACGCUGGCGGCGUGCCUAAUACAUGCAAGUCGAGCGAAGUUUUUCUGGUUCUUGCACCGGCAAAACUUAGCGGCGAACGGGUGAGUAACACGUAAAGUACCUGCCUCAUAGACUUGGACUACUAUUGGAAACGAUAGUUAAUACCGGAUAAUAGCAUUAACUGCUUGGUUGAUGUUUAAUAGUUGGUUUUGCUAACACUAUGAGAUGUCUUUGCGGUGCAUUAGCUAGUUGGUGGGGUAAAGGCCUACCAAGGCGGCGAUGCAUAGCCGACCGGAGAGGAGGGUCGGCGACACUGGGACGGAGACAGGGCCCAGGCUCCUGCGGGAGGGAGCAGAAGGGAAUGGGCCGCAAUAGGCGAGAGCCUGGCGGAACAAGGCCACGUGAGUGACAGAAACUUUCGGUUCGGAAAGAUCGGUUGUUAGGGAAGAAUGGUUGUGUAGUGUCUAGAAGCAGGAGAGACGGUAACUAGCAAAAAAGCAACGGCUAACUACGUG
rnacentral:rRNA from 1 species